GCCGAGGUAGCUUAGCCUGGUUGAGCGCCAGACUCAUAAUCUGGAGGUCGCGGGUUCGAAGCCCGCCCUCGGCACCA
rnacentral:tRNA from 1 species